rnacentral:rRNA from 1 species
UACGUAGGGACCGAGCGUUGUCCGGAAUCAUUGGGCGUAAAGGGUGUGUAGGAGGUCUUGUAAGUCGGGCGUGAAAUCUCACCGCUUAACGGUGAAACUGCGUUCGAUACUGCUUGGCUAGAGGAUCGGAGGGGGUAUCGGAAUUCAUGGUGUAGCAGUGAAAUGCGUAGAUAUCAUGAGGAACACCGGUGGCGAAAGCGGAUACCUGGAAGAUUCCUGACUCUGAAACACGAAAGCUAGGGGAGCAAACGGG